GUGCCAGCAGCCGCGGUAAGACGUAGGGCGCAAGCGUUGUCCGGAUUUAUUGGGCGUAAAGAGCUCGUAGGCGGCUCGUUGCGUCGGCUGUGAAAACCCAUGGCUUAACUGUGGGCUUGCAGCCGAUACGGGCGGGCUGGAGUUCGGUAGGGGAGACUGGAAUUCCUGGUGUAGCGGUGAAAUGCGCAGAUAUCAGGAGGAACACCGGUGGCGAAGGCGGGUCUCUGGGCCGAUACUGACGCUGAGGAGCGAAAGCGUGGGGAGCGAACAGGAUUAGAUACCCGUGUAGUCC
rnacentral:rRNA from 1 species